rnacentral:rRNA from 1 species
GACGAACGCUGGCGGCGUGCUUAACACAUGCAAGUCGAACGCGCCUGUCCUCUGGGUUUCUGGGGGGUGGGUGAGUGGAGAACGGGUGAGUAACACGGGAGUAACCUGCCCCCUUCUUCGGGUUAACGGACUGAAAGGGCUGCUACUACCGGGUAUUCACUGGUCUCCGCAUGGGGUCAGGAGGAAAGGUUUUUUUAUGGUGGGGGUUGGGCUCGCGGCCUAUCAGCUUGUUGGUGGGGUGAUGGCCCACCAAGGCUUUGACGGGUAGCUGGCCUGAGAGGGUGGCCGGUCACAUUGGGACUGAGAUACGGCCCAGACUCCUACGGGAGGCAGCAGUGGGGAAUAUUGCACAAUGGGCGCAAGCCUGAUGCAGCGACGCCGCGUGAGGGAUGGAGGCCUUCGGGUUGUGAACCUCUUUCGCCCGUGGUCAAGCCGCGACGUGGGUCGUGGUGAGGGUAGUGGGUAAAGAAGCGCCGGCUAACUACGUG